rnacentral:tRNA from 1 species
GGACUGGAGCAUUCAGUCAGCUGAGCGUGGCGCUAACAACGCCAAGGUCACGGGUUCAAGUCCCGUUCAGUCCC